CCUCUCAUUCGAAUGAGUGGAUUGUACCUGAUAUGAUAUUCAGUUUCAAGAAACUCCGGGGGACGGAGACGAUCCUUACGCAGACGCCGCUGAUAGGACUUGCCGACACGACGAAGCUGCCGAAUUUGUUCUUGCAUUGCUUACAAUGGAUCCUCGCCUUCGAACAUGCUGCUCCUGAAGGUAAAAGCUGCAUUUCUGUCUAGAUAAAGGUAUUUUCCCCGAUAAUUAGGAAGCAUUUGAUCUACCCGCUGAAUGCUGAUCUCUCUCUUAUUUCUUUAGUUCCCUUGAUGAUAUGAUAUGAUAAUUCUGAUAUUUUUUUUUCCAAACUAGCCAAAAUGUGGGUUUCUUCAAACCUUCAACAUUCAUAACUUAGGGAGGAAAAAGUUAAUGCCUUGUGCUCAAUAACUUAGGACAUCCAUAGCCCAUACUUGUGUUAGAAUGCACCAGCAGUAAAGUUGCAUUAAGUGGAUGUAGUUUCGUUUCCCAUUUUCUGCUUAGUGGUAAUAAUAAUUUAUGUUCUUUCACGUCUCUUCGGAGACAUCUGAGAAUAAUUUAGGUUCUUUCACAGUUCCAAUCAGUGAUUAUGUCUGCAUCUAUAUUAUAAUGUCAUAUAAGUUCCCGUUACUCUGUUUCCUCUAUCUGGUCUUGAGCACUUAGAUUUUUUCAAAAAUGCUCGCCUAGGCAUCUAGUAUACAUAACAGAUAUUAUCACUGACACAGACCAUCAAUAUAUUUGAAGGAUAGGAUUUUUGGAGUAAUCUCUUCCAGUAUUUAUCAUGAAUGGUUCUCAAAUGCUUGGAACUUUGGUCAGUGACGAUAUUCAUUCUAAUUUGGAGAUUAGGAAAGGAUUUGAAGAUCCUCUCAAAUCUACCAAGAGAGAAGAUGACCAGAGAACACUGUAGAAAACUCAGAUUUCUAGAUCCAGUAGCUACUUGAGGUUAAGAAGCAUGAUAAAUGUAGGUAUAGAUGGGGCUAUUUAUGCAUACCAUCACAGAAUAACUUUCUUUUUGAGAAAAAUAAGUAAAGAAAAGCAAUGGAAAGCUGCCCCACUAUUUCCUUAAUCUUCCACGAAUUCCAACAAAAACCCAAAAUCCACUCAUUUUAUUAAAAAGAAAAAAAUUACGUCCUAACAAAUAAUACAUUUAACAUUUAAACAAAAAUCCGGUUUGCGUUAAGAAAAAAAGAGGAAAAAGGAGUAUUUGAAAGUUCAGGGAGAAAGAUAAAACAAUAACAUACGAUUUAAACUAGAAAAGAUAGAUUUAUCUUAUUAUUUUGGAUUGGACCCAUCUUCCAACCCUUUUCGACUACCGAAUCAGUUCAUUUCUUGACUAAAGAAACAACCAAAUUGGUAUUAAUAGUUUCAUCUUUAUUCCUUGAUAAGUGAUCUUCCAGAAUCUCUCCAUAUAGCUCAAACAAAUCAUCCAUAAUAUCACCUCCGAAAUGAGACACCAGCAUAUUUUCAACCACAGCCCUCAUGGUCUUCGCCACUUUGUGUCCAUUCUGAGCUUCGUCGGUGGAGUCAACCCACUCCACCUCGAAUGCUUCAAACCGAUCUAUAACGAACGAUCCUUCCUUCUCUAUCUCCAAUUUCACUUCCUCAAUGCAUGGUGCAUAGUAAGGUAGGUUGAACGAGUCAACUUUUUCUUCUUCAACCACUCCCUAUGGCCCAACAAAGAGAAAAAAAGGAAAAAAAAAAGUUUUCUAUAUUGUUCAUUAUUAAAGUUAAAGCUGAAAGAGAGUCGAAUAAUCAGUGGACAUAGUUACAACCACACCAAGAAGAAAGGUACAAAAUCCUCCAACUCUACACAUACUUUUUAGGCAACUUUCUAUCAAGGGGACAAAAGCUAUAUGAAUAUCUCUUAAAACACUCUACUUUAAAGAAUGUUUAAUAGGUUUCAAAUUUUUCCUAACUUGCACAAUAAGUUUUAUGAACUAAUAAUAAAAAAUAAAAAAAAUUACUAGAGUUGUAA